rnacentral:tRNA from 1 species
UCCCUGGUAGCCUAAUGGUUAGGGUUCUGGCUUUCACUGCCAGAACCCAUGGGCCUGGGUUAAAUCCCUGGUUGGGGAA